GCUGUUGCUCAGUGGUAGAGAGCUUGCCCAGCAUGUGUGAGGCACUGGGUUCGAUCCUCAGCACUGCA
rnacentral:tRNA from 1 species